rnacentral:rRNA from 1 species
CGCGUAGGCGGCUUGGUCAGUCCCGUGUGAAAUCCCUCGGCUCAACUGAGGAACUGCACGGGAAACUGCCUGGCUUGAGUUCGGGGGAGGGAAGCGGAAUUCCGGGUGUAGCGGUGAAAUGCGUAGAUAUCCGGAGGAACACCGGUGGCGAAGGCGGCUUCCUGGACCGACACUGACGCUGAGGCGCGAAAGCUAGGGGAAGCAAACG